rnacentral:rRNA from 1 species
AGUGAACGCUGGCGGUAGGCCUAACACAUGCAAGUCGAACGGCAGCACGGAGGAGCUUGCUCCUUGGGUGGCGAGUGGCGGACGGGUGAGGAAUACAUCGGAAUCUACUCUGUCGUGGGGGAUAACGUAGGGAAACUUACGCUAAUACCGCAUACGACCUACGGGUGAAAGCAGGGGACCUUCGGGCCUUGCGCGAUUGAAUGAGCCGAUGUCGGAUUAGCUAGUUGGCGGGGUAAAGGCCCACCAAGGCGACGAUCCGUAGCUGGUAUGAGGGGAUGAUCAGCCACACUGGACCUGAGACACGGUCCAGACUCCUACGGUAGGCAGCAGUGGGGAAUAUUGGACAAUGGGCGCAAGCCUGAUCCAGCCAUACCGCGUGGGUGAAGAAGGCCUUCGGGUUGUAAAGCCCUUUUGUUGGGAAAGAAAUCCAGCUGGCUAAUACCCGGUUGGGAUGACGGUACCCAAAGAAUAAGCACCGGCUAACUUCGUGCCAGCCGCCGCCGUAA